GACGAACGCUGGCGGCGUGCUUAACACAUGCAAGUCGAACGGUGAACCUCUUCGGAGGGGAUCAGUGGCGAACGGGUGAGUAACACGUGGGCAACCUGCCCCCGGCUCUGGGAUAACUCCAAGAAAUUGGGGCUAAUACCGGAUGUUCACCGCUUCCCGCAUGGGUGGUGGUGGAAAGGGUUUCCGGCUGGGGAUGGGCCCGCGGCCUAUCAGCUUGUUGGUGGGGUAGUGGCCUACCAAGGCGACGACGGAUAGCCGGCCUGAGAGGGUGACCGGCCACACGGGGACUGAGACACGGCCCAGACUCCUACGGGAGGCAGCAGUGGAGAAUAUUGCGCAAUGGGCGGAAGCCUGACGCAGCGACGCCGCGUGGGGGAUGACGGCCUUCGGGUGGUAAACCUCUUUCAGCAGGGACGAAGCGCAAGUGACGGUACCUGCAGAAGAAGCACCGGCCAACUACGUG
rnacentral:rRNA from 1 species